rnacentral:rRNA from 1 species
UUGCUGAACAAGUCCAUCGGGAAAUCCACCGGCUUAACCGGUGGACGUCCGGUGGAAACUGUUCGGCUUGGGGCCGGGAGACUCAGCGGGUACGUCUGGGGUAGGAGUGAAAUCCUGUAAUCCUAGACGGACCACCGAUGGCGAAAGCACGCUGAGAGACCGGACCCGACAGUGAGGGACGAAAGCUGGGGUCACGAACCGGAUUAGAUACCCGGGUAGUCCCAGCCGUAAACGAUGCUCGCUAGGUCUGCCGUUCACUACGAGUGGAUGGUGGGCUGCAGUGAAGACGAUAAGCGAGCCGCCUGGGAA